rnacentral:rRNA from 1 species
AGGACGAACGCUGGCGGCGUGCCUAAUACAUGCAAGUCGAACGAGACUUUCAUUGGUGGUAACACCUUUGUCUGUCUAGUGGCGAACGGGUGAGUAACACGUGAGAAACCUGCCCUGAAGACGGGGAUAACAGAAGGAAACUUCUGCUAAUACCCGAUACCCCCACCGGAUCACAUGGUCUGAUGAGGAAAUGGAUUCCGCUUCAGGAGGGUCUCGCGGCCUAUCAGCUUGUUGGUGGGUAAUGGCCCACCAAGGCUUGGACGGGUAGCGUGGUCUGAGAGGACGAUCAGCCACACGUGGACUGAGACCGACCGGACCCAGACCUCCCUACGGGAGGCAGACAAGUAAGGAAUAGUU